UUUCCUCUCCCUUGAAUCGUUUCUUGCUCGUCGGACUCAACUUCACAAUGAUGUAAGUUUAGCUGCUAAUUUCUCUUUAGUGCUAUUCAUUUCCCCUGUAACUGAAGACACCUCUCUGGUAAGAUUGACCACCUCAAAAUAAUUUGGAACUCAUGUUGUUUUUUUAUUUUUAGGAUAUUGUUCUAUUUAAAUAUUUUGAGAUGCUAACCGUUAACACAUUUUAGAAUGGAAAAACUAAUGAAGAACCUCAUCUGUUUUCUGAAAACAAAUUUGGAAAGGAGAAGAAAGUGCCACCAAGAGAUUUUCCUAUUGAUUUCCCAUCAAUUUUUGGAGGUGCCCCUACGCCUGGAGUGUUUGGGGAGUUGGAAGGAGAAAGUGAUGAAAGACAAAAAUUACGAUUAGAACGUCACCUAAAAGUUGAGGCGCAUAUGUCUGCAGAUUCAGAAAGAUGAUGCAGUCUUGGACUCUUGGCUAUCUGGUCAACUAAAACCUCAGUGCAUGAGAUGGGAAUUGAUACUAGGUGUUGUUGGUGGUAUCCUCACCUCCUUGAUUUCCCUUAUCAUGUUAACACUCUGCAGUCGAAUGUUAAGAUCCAUUCCUAGAGCUGUUGUAGCAAUGGUAACCUCGCUAAUACAUCAGGUGCUUUUUUCUCGGAUAAUUUUCCUUGUGGCAUACUUUACGAUUGUCAGCUGGUUAGCCAUUCAGUAUGGUAAAAGGCUCGACCUCUUCGAACUCUUCAUAGAUUAUUAGCAUUCAACAAAGGAUAUUUGAAAUUAUGUCUUCAUGUACAAGGCACUCCAAGUCGGAUGUAGAAAUCAGAAUUGCUAUCCAACAAGUGUAUCGCGCAAGACCAUGACAAUUGUAUAUUAUUAGCUUCCAUAACAUUAAGAACAAGCCAUCUAAUCUGGUGCUGAGUCUCUUUAUCUUUUCAUGCAUCAAGAAAGAGUAGAGUACUCUCAGGGGGGGAAUUAGGUGGUGGCUGGCGGUGGCCAUGGGCCCAUGGCCUCCCCAAUGAUAUGGUUAAAAAUUAAAUAUGCAAAAUAAUUGCACAUGUAAUACCAUAGCUAGGGUGGUACUUUUGCGUAGAAUGUUAGUUCGGGAGG